UUAAGAAGGAUUUGUUUGGAGAAUGGGGAGGUAAGGAUGGGAGGCUGUAUAGGAUAAAAUAACAGGAAAAAUACAGAAAAGAGAGGCAAAAAGAUCCUUGAGAUCUCUCUCCCUUUCCUCCCUCUCUUUCUCUUUCUCUCUUUCUUUUUAAUGCAGAGAAGAGGAAAGACCAGAAAGAAGCACAAAUAAAGGAAGCACCUGGAACACAGAAUGGAAACGACUAUCUUGUGGUCACCCAAGGAGUCAAUGUGGAUUCAGGAUCCCCUCUUUAGCUCUCCUGGCUUCAAAGGAAUUGCAGACCUCUUGUCAGAAGAAGCUCAGAGCUGGAUGGAACCUUAGAGGCCAUUUAGUCCAAGCUGUAUUUGAAGAUGAAUCUCCUUCUACAGUAUGCCAUUUUUCCUGGACAAAGAGCUCCCUCCUGGGUGAUACCAUUCCACAGUGGAACAACUAUAACUCUUGGGAAGUUUUCCCUGACACUGAGCUGAAAUUGGCCUCUGGGUGACUUCUGUCCCUUUCUCAUACUUUUGAUUUAGGGUUCAAGCAGAACAAGCCUGCUCCUUACCAAUAAAAGCCUGUGAGUCCUUGAUUAUAGAUACUGCAUUAAACAUCACUACUUUC